rnacentral:snRNA from 1 species
AGAUGUCCAAGUGAUCUGGCUGUGAAAUCUGUCACAGCGCUGAGUGGCAGGGUUGGUUUGGCUGAUCUCGUUCGGCUAGGUGGGUGUCCCCUUUCUCCCUCACUGCUCCAUGCACUCGCCUCCAGAAGCUGGGUGUGAUGUUGAAGAAAGCAACCUUCCCUGAACAGAAGAACUCAUCUUCCAUCAAAGGUACAUGGAUAGCUGUGCUCUCCCCUGCUACAGCCUCCAAACAAGUUAUCAAAAAUGCAAAGGUAUUGGGUGAGUUUUACCCCCCCCCCGGGGUGGGGAGGGGGAGGUGGUAGGCUGCAUGGUCAGCAGAUGAUAAAGCUGGCUGUGGAGAUCAGAGCCAGCUCUAG